AUUCUGGAGGGGACAGAGCUAGCAGAUCAGACCUAACUGGAAAUCUGCUGUGCCAGUAUAUAUUUCAGUGAUGUGAGCCAAUAUAUCCCCUUGAUUGCUCAAAGUAGUUUGGUCGAUAUAUUUUGUUGCUUUAAAUUGAACACAUUCUUAUGUACAGCCUCUGUCUCCUCAUCUCCAACCAAGCAAAAUAGCUUGUUCUCUUUAUGCAGGGACACAUGACAUUUCCCACGUGGCUUUGUGCAUAUCUCCACCUCAAUUUAAAAUGCCUUCCAAUCCCUGCUCAAAGUCAAACAGCUUAAUAAUGGUAGACAUAGAAUUUGACUUAUUCUAAUAAUAGGUCUUUUAAACAAUGCCUUCUUCUCUUCAUUCUUUCCUUCUUAGAGUGGGUAUUCUUUCUGGUGCAUCAUGUAAAGGAAGAUUGAGCCUCAUAUUUCAUAUCUGCCCCUGGCCUAAUGGUUGUUUACAGAAUGAGCUCAAUGAAUAUUGUUAAAUAACACUAACAAAGUUGACCUUAGAAUUGGAGUGCCUGGGUUAGAACCCUGCUGGUACCACCUGCUUACUGCAUGCUUCUGAUGUGAGUUCAGGAGAAGACACUGGCAAGGACAGCAAAGAACAGGAGAACACUCUAGCUUCCCUGAUAGCAUUCAAGGUGCUGUCCAAACUGACUGUGAUGGCACCCUCCAGACAGACAGCGAUGCCACAUGUUCAAGAUGGCAGAAUCACUAUCAGCUUCAAUUCCUGAAUGACUGCAGAGCAAAAUUUCUUACCUGCAACAUACACUCUAUUUUCAGCCUCCCUGGACUGUUACAUAAUGAUACAUAAAAAUAUUUCUUGUGUUGAGGCAUCCCAAAUUUGAUUUAUUUGUCAUCACAGUCUAUCCUAUGAAUAUAUUUCUGAUCCAAAUAAUGCUAGAUUCAUGAGAGUUUAUAGUCCAGAGAUUUUUUUUUUUUUUUUGAGACAGAAUCUGUCUCCCAGGCUGGGGUGCAGUGGCAUAAUCUUAGCUCACUGCAACCUCUGCCUCCCGGGCUCAAGUGAUCCUCCCUCCUUAGCCUCCAUGAGUAGCUGGGACCACAGGUGUGCACCACCACACCCCGCUAAUUAUUUUGUAUUUUUUGCAGAGGGGGGUUUCACCACAUUGCCCAAGCUGGUCUCAAACUCCUAGACUUAAGGGAUCUGCCUGCCUUGGCCUCCCAAAAUGCUGAAAUUACACUUGUUAGCCAUAGUAAUAGUUCCUAGCCAUAGUCCGGAGAUAUUUUAAAAACUUUAGUGUGAGUUAUUUCUCUUUGCUAUAAUUCUCUCAUGCAUUUUGAAAACCUUUUCUGCCAUACAGUGGUUUUUGGGAAGUCCUUUUGGACAGACAUAUCACAGGAUGGAGAAACUAAAAAGAGAGAAUGCAUUAAAGAAAAAAUAGUACUUCGUAUUUCAGAAAUUACAAAAGGGUGUCAUGCCCCACAGCAUGGUGGGCAGUCAUUUGUAACCCACAGAACAUUGAGUUUCUAAAAUUUGAGUGUUUUUAACUUACGAAGGCCAACUUUACUGAUGAAGUGAUUACCCCAAAUAUGUGAAAUCCAUAUUUCAAGUACAAUAGUAGGAAAUUGGAAAUGGGCUCUUGAGUUUCUGCUUUCAAGUGACCCUCAGAAAUUCCUCCAUUCACUGCAGAGGUUCUGUUUCUCCUUGCUUUGUUCUGACUUUACGGCAGAACUAAGCUAAUGAGUUAGUUACUAUGGGUUAUCACUUGGAUUUGAAGAACCAUCAUUUCUAGGCAUUGCUGCUCAGAGUGGGUCUGCCCUCAGGGGAAGCUGUCUAACCAGAGCCUAACCCACUAGGGUUUUAUCAGAACCUAACUGACCUGAGGAAAAGAAAUACUCAACUCCAGCAAGCUCCAGCCUUCCAAAUGGAGGAGGAGAAAACCCAACUCCAGCCCACUUCAGCUAUCUUGUCCCACAUAAAGGGGAAGUGGAAGAAACCUGAGAAGCAGGCAUGAAGUUCACAGUCCAGAGACCUUGCCAUCGUAUCCCCUUUUGGAGACACAAGCCAGGAAGGAAGCUCUUCAGUGCAGCUGUGAAUAGAGAAAUGCUGGCUGAGGUUUUGGAGACACUGGGUGAUCAUUCCCAGUGAAAUUUUUAGAUCCCUGGGGACAUGAGCUGCUUUGUCUUUUCCAAGGACAGCAGACAGAGCAUGAAUGAGACCCCCAAAGAAGGGAAGCAAAUGAGACAAGCCCCACAAUUAUUCUGGCUUUUUGCCUAGAGACAAUCUAUGAACUGUGGGGCAAACAACAGAGAUCAAAACAGCUUGGCAAUCUGAGUUGAGGAUGAAGACACCAUUGGGGCAGAAGCAGCGAUAGCUCAAAUUUGUGGAGCAAAGUACCGGAGAAGAUAAACUGCUCCAAAUUCCAAGAGGCUGGGCAAAGAAAAACUUUGUGGAAAGAAGAAUUAUCAGGGAACUCUAAGCUGAAAAAUUGCCAGGGCUCACACAGACCUGGGGAAUUGGUUGAGUUUAUGCCACCUACAGGAUAGAGAACUUGCUGAAUGUUCAAGGAUUUUGUUACAGAUGCAAGAUGACACUUAAAGGGAUGCAAAACUAACAUCUCUGGAUUAGUCUUAAUAAAGUUUAAAAAUAAGCUUAGAAAAAGUCAAA
rnacentral:lncRNA from 1 species